rnacentral:rRNA from 1 species
UACGAAGGGGGCUAGCGUUGCUCGGAAUUACUGGGCGUAAAGCGCACGUAGGCGGAUUGUUAAGUCGGGGGUGAAAUCCUGGAGCUCAACUCCAGAACUGCCUUCGAUACUGACGAUCUUGAGUUCGGGAGAGGUGAGUGGAACUGCGAGUGUAGAGGUGAAAUUCGUAGAUAUUCGCAAGAACACCAGUGGCGAAGGCGGCUCACUGGCCCGAUACUGACGCUGAGGUGCGAAAGCGUGGGGAGCAAACAGG